GUCUGGGUGGCUCAGUCGGUUAAGCGCCCGACUUCGGCUCGGGUCACGAUCGCCCGGCCGGUGGGUUCGAGCCCCGCAUCGGGCU
rnacentral:tRNA from 1 species